GACGAACCGUGCAAACGUUGUUCGGAAUCACUGGGCUUAAAGGGCGCGUAGGCGGGCAGUCAAGUCAGGGGUGAAAUCUUUCGGCUCAACCGGAAAAGUGCCUUUGAAACUGACUGUCUCGAGGGAGGUAGGGGCGUGCGGAACUUCCGGUGGAGCGGUGAAAUGCGCAGAUAUCGGGAGGAACACCGGUGGCGAAGGCGGUUCUCUGGGCCUUACCUGACGCUGAGGAGCGAAAGCGUGGGGAGCGAACAGG
rnacentral:rRNA from 1 species